GAUCCCCAGCCCGAACACACCCAAACUCAUACCGACACCUCCCAUCAUGCCAGCUACAGUGUCAAACCACUCGGUGCCUGGUAUCUCUAAUCAUAGACYUAAACCUGUCACCAAACCUGCUACYKGGCCCAACACAAAACCAAACCAAGAUGAUAGCAAGUGGCUCCCGGUGUGUGUGUCUGCAGUGUGUGUGUGUCUACUGCUCACCUGCCUUGUUGCCAUCUCAAAGCUCAAACCUGUUCUGCGAUGGAUUGGUUCAACAAACAGCUUCUGGUCUCCCAAAAAGACAACUCCAGCCAAUCAGAGCACAGUGGAGGAGGAAGUGCCCAUGCCGGUCCAGGAAGUGUGUGGAAAGCCAGAGCUGCUACUGGACGUAUGAUGGAGGAAGUCAGUGUCAAAGGAGAGGAUGAGAACUCACAAUGGGACAGCGAGCUGGGAGACAGACUACCUCACAUUCCCAUUGAAGUUAAACUAACCUGAAGGCUAGACAGGCUGCUGUAUUGUUUUAAUGCAGUGGCUUCCGUAUCUAGGACUUUCAGAAAGGACAAGAAAAUAGGACAAAAAGACACUUUGAAGUAUGAAGACAUAGGUUAAAGAUGAGAGGGAGUGGGAGUCUGUGACCGAGAAAGAGCGGAGAGUAACUGGAAGAGUGUGAACGAGACAGACAGACACACACGCGCACAGGCAGACAGACACACAAUCAUUUGUGUGCUGAAUACAUGUACUGUACAUGUUUAUGUUGAAGAUGUUUUACACCUUCAUUACAAUUAUUAUGCUUUUUGCUGUAUCUAUGCUUUAUGCCCGUGUUAACUCUUACAUAGAGUGGCUGUUUAAAACAUACAGUGCUGUAUUUUAAAUAAAGAACAGAAUCACAAAUGUUACAGGCCUACUGUAAUGUCAUACAAUCGCCCCAUCACCUGUAUUAAUUGAAAAAUUAUAUUUAAUAUUUUGCUUUUAAUUUGUGMAAAAACAGUUCAAGGUGCCACAUGAACACAGAAAAAAACAGUUUGCAGCAGUUGAGACUGAAAGCUUUUUAUACAGUUCAAUAAAAGGAGAGCAAGUGGAUGUGUACAUGACCAGCAUAAUGAGAUGUCUAGGACAGGAAAUAAUGGCCAUUCUAGAGUUUUGGGAUUCACCGGUGUUCUGAGAGUAAGAGUGGCAGGUGGCCUAGUGGUUAGAGCAUUGGACUAGUAACCAAAAGGUUGCAAGAUCGAAUCCCUGAGCUGACAAG